rnacentral:rRNA from 1 species
GAUGAACGCUGGCGGCGUGCCUAAUACAUGCAAGUCGAGCGAACAGACGAUGAGCUUGCUCCUCUGACGUUAGCGGCUGACGGGUGAGUAACACGUGGAUAACCUACCUAUAAGACUGGGAUAACUUCGGGAAACCGGAGCUAAUACCGGAUAAUAUAUUGAACCGCAUGGUUCAAUAGUGAAAGACGGUUUUGCUGUCACUUAUAGAUGGAUCCGCGCCGCAUUAGCUAGUUGGUAAGGUAACGGCUUACCAAGGCGACGAUGCGUAGCCGACCUGAGAGGGUGAUCGGCCACACUGGAACUGAGACACGGUCCAGACUCCUACGGGAGGCAGCAGUAGGGAAUCUUCCGCAAUGGGCGAAAGCCUGACGGAGCAACGCCGCGUGAGUGAUGAAGGUCUUCGGAUCGUAAAACUCUGUUAUUAGGGAAGAACAAAUGUGUAAGUAACUAUGCACGUCUUGACGGUACCUAAUCAGAAAGCCACGGCUAACUACGUG